UCCAGUAAUGGGAACCCACCAGAGAGAUGUCCCUGUCCUCUGUAUUCCCGGGAUUCCACACAGGAAGAUCACACGGUAUCUGACAGUGACAAGGAUGAAAAUAUGUUAGAUACAACAGUUGAGGGUAAUGCAGAAGAAGAAAAUACGUAUGUGACGGAUGAUCGGCAGUAUAUGGAGGACGAAAUAAUAACAUUGACAUUUGUAGAGGUGGACACUACUACAGAGAUCAGCACAGUAGAUGGAUGGGAGAUGAGGAAAACCUCAGAGGAUU